GUGCUUUUCUUUACAGGAUUGGAAAGAUUUUGGAGACUGAAGAAGUUGUAGAGGCUCUGAUGGAAGGAAUAGUGACCAACCAGAAAAUGGUUUUUGUUCCACCACAGCUAAAUAUUGCUUUGCUUUCUGAAAUGGUGUUUCCAGAACGUGCCCUGAAUGUUCUGAAGAAGCUCACUGUUCCAAAGUUUGAUGCAAUCAUUGGGCAGAGAAGCACCCAGUGAAAAGCAAGAAUUGAUUCUCGUUUCGCAGUGGCACGAGUGAAAACAGAACAUGUGCUGAGGGUAGUUCAGCUGGUUUGAUAC